CAACUGUAAUUCGACCAGCUGCAUCCCAAACAAGUGGCAUUGCGAUGGUUCCACAGACUGCGACAAUGGAUACGACGAGGAAAAUUGCCCUUUGCCGCCAACACCACCUACACCUUCACCAACAUGCGCCAAGCCAGAAGAUCAAGCAAUUUGCAAAGACUGUCGAGAACGAGCCUGCAAAGACGUAACAUGCUAUGAAAUGCCACAGGACCUGUGUUGUGAA